rnacentral:rRNA from 1 species
CGUACACUCCUACGGGAGGCAGCAGUGGGGAAUAUUGGACAAUGGGCGCAAGCCUGAUCCAGCCAUGCCGCGUGAGUGAUGAAGGCCCUAGGGUUGUAAAGCUCUUUCACCGGUGAAGAUAAUGACGGUAACCGGAGAAGAAGCCCCGGCUAACUUAGUGCCAGCAGCCGCGGUAAUACGAAGGGGGCUAGCGUUGUUCGGAUUUACUGGGCGUAAAGCGCACGUAGGCGGACUAUUAAGUCAGGGGUGAAAUCCCGGGGCUCAACCCCGGAACUGCCUUUGAUACUGGUAGUCUUGAGUUCGAGAGAGGUGAGUGGAAUUCCGAGUGUAGAGGUGAAAUUCGUAGAUAUUCGGAGGAACACCAGUGGCGAAGGCGGCUCACUGGCUCGAUACUGACGCUGAGGUGCGAAAGCGUGGGGAGCAAACAGGAUUAGAAACCCCAGUAGUCCC